ACAAAGGAGCCCGGCUUAGCAGCAUCCUUCCUGCCGCGGCUUCGGGGGGAGGAAGAAGAGAGCGCGGUGGGGGUCGCAUCCUUUCCACCGGAGGGGGGGUCCUUAACCAUCCCCCCCCCCAGAAAAGUAGGGUAAUAAUUGGACUUUUCCUUGGGAUCCGGCGCGUGCAGGCUUCCGAGUUUAACAGAGCUCUUUGUCACCAGCGCAUCCUUCCCUAAUUCUGAAACAGUGGCUCUCAAACUUUUCCUCCGCGGGCCACACUUAAAAGAUAUUUGCUCGCGCCAUGCCGACUUCUUUUAUUGGGAAGAAAUAAGCAGAAAUAAAUAAGAUUCUAUGAUUAUAUGAAAUACAUUGGGAAAGCAAAAGAAGCCACUCCUAGCCCAAGUCUUCUCCAGCACUCUGUUUGAACUGCGACGAUUCUGGAUCACAACUAGGAUUGUCUGCAGUGUCACUUAAUGUUCCUGCUAUCCUUUAAAACAAUAUUUAAACAUCCGUUUUCUGAAGAAAAAAAUUAAAAAGUGUUUUGAUACUAUAUGAAAUGCUUUUUUUUGUCCUUGAAUCUUCCCACCCCGGUUGCCACCUUCUCAUGCCACACCAGUGUGGCAGCUGCUGCCCCAUUUGAGUAACACUGUUCUGAGAUCACCACCACUGGAUUGGUGGAUUGUUGUGGAUUCAAUUAUUGUAGGACCCCGUUCAGCAAGAGAGUUCCUAGAAGACCGUUCUGAGAAGAGGACGAAGAGCAGAAAGUCCCCCAUUUGCCCCUGGCACACACAGACAUGACGCACCCCUUCCAAAAGUGGCUGUGAAGAUGUCCCAUUGCUGUUUCCACCAUUCAACACUCUCUCACGCAGAGACACUUCUGUUCUCUGCAUUGACAGUUAAAGGGACAUCUGGAAUUUCUCUCAGCCAAAUUUAGCCCCGGCCGGGGUCUUCCGUUGCUGAUAUCUGGUUUCCAGAGCUGUCAUUUAUACAGAGCAAAGCAAGGAGGGACCAAUUUCAACACUGUAAAAAAAGGCAGCGGUGCUGCUAAGGAAGGUUUUGGAGCAGAACUCCAGGACCGUACUCAGAAGGAGAAACAGGAAGGUCCUCAAAGACAGCAGGGAUGGCUUACCAUAUUUUGAAACAAAGAGAUUUGAAAGAGAUCCAUGUAGAUCCAGCCACACAUGUAUACUGAUAUCUCAAGGAGUUCUGCAGUUUCAUACACCACAAGGAUCCUACAGAGCCAACAUGUGCAAUGACCAAUGUGUGCAUUCUCUGGGACCAUUCUAUUCUCCAGAGAAUGACUGGCGUGUGUGUGUGUGUGUGUGUGUGUGUGUGUGUGUGUGUGUUUCA